rnacentral:rRNA from 1 species
UUUCCCGUUAAAACGAAGGGGGCCAAAACCCUUUUCCUUAAGUUAAACCCAGCCAAAGGUUAUUGGGUGGGGCCAAUUUUAAGGGAAGGAUUGCCCGGUUGACCAAACCCGGAGGGAAGUUGGGGAUGACGUCAAGUCAUUCAUGGGCCCUUACGGUCUGGGGCUACAACACGUGCUAACAAUGGUUCGGUAACAAAGGGUUGCCAAGCCGCGAGGUGGAGCUAAUCCCAUAAAACCGAUCGUAGUCCGGAUCGCAGUCUGCAACUCGACUGCGUGAAGUCGGAAUCGCUAGUAAUCGUGAGUCAGAAUGUCACGGUGAAUACGUUCCCGGGCCUUGUACACCCCGCCCGAAUCACUA